rnacentral:rRNA from 1 species
CAGUGUGUGUGUUAGUGGAAGCGUCUGGAAAGGCGCGCGAUACAGGGUGACAGCCCCGUACACAAAAAUGCACAUAUUGUGAGCUCGAUGAGUAGGGCGGGACACGUGGUAUCCUGUCUGAAUAUGGGGGGACCAUCCUCCAAGGCUAAAUACUCCUGACUGACCGAUAGUGAACCAGUACCGUGAGGGAAAGGCGAAAAGAACCCCGGCGAGGGGAGUGAAAAAGAACCUGAAACCGUGUACGUACAAGCAGUGGGAGCCUCUUAAUGGGGUGACUGCGUACCUUUUGUAUAAUGGGUCAGCGACUUAUAUUCUGUAGCAAGGUUAACCGAAUAGGGGAGCCGAAGGGAAACCGAGUCUUAACUGGGCGUUAAGUUGCAGGGUAUAGACCCGAAACCCGGUGAUCUAGCCAUGGGCAGGUUGAAGGUUGGGUAACACUAACUGGAGGACCGAACCGACUAAUGUUGAAAAAUUAGCGGAUGACUUGUGGCUGGGGGUGAAAGGCCAAUCAAACCGGGAGAUAGCUGGUUCUCCCCGAAAGCUAUUUAGGUAGCGCCUCGUGAAUUCAUCUCCGGGGGUAGAGCACUGUUUCGGCAAGGGGGUCAUCCCGACUUACCAACCCGAUGCAAACUGCGAAUACCGGAGAAUGUUAUCACGGGAGACACACGGCGGGUGCUAACGUCCGUCGUGAAGAGGGAAACAACCCAGACCGCCAGCUAAGGUCCCAAAGUCAUGGUUAAGUGGGAAACGAUGUGGGAAGGCCCAGACAGCCAGGAUGUUGGCUUAGAAGCAGCCAUCAUUUAAAGAAAGCGUAAUAGCUCACUGGUCGAGUCGGCCUGCGCGGAAGAUGUAACGGGGCUAAACCAUGCACCGAAGCUGCGGCAGCGACACUAUGUGUUGUUGGGUAGGGGAGCG